AUUGAACGCUGGCGGCAGGCUUAACACAUGCAAGUCGAGCGGGGGAGGUUGCUUCGGUAACUGACCUAGCGGCGGACGGGUGAGUAAUGCUUAGGAAUCUGCCUAUUAGUGGGGGACAACAUUCCGAAAGGGAUGCUAAUACCGCAUACGCCCUACGGGGGAAAGAAGGGGAUCUUUGGGCCUUGCGGUAAUAGAUGAGCCUAAGUCGAAUUAGUUAGUUGGUGGGGUAAAGGCCUACCAAGGCGACGAGCGGUAGCGGGUCUGAGAGGAUGAUCCGCCACACUGGGACUGAGACACGGACCAGACUCGUACGGGAGGCAGCAGUGGGGAAUAUUGGACAAUGGGGGGAACCCUGAUCCAGCCAUGCCGCGUGUGUGAAGAAGGCCUUAUGGUUGUAAAGCACUUUAAGCGAGGAGGAGGCUCUUUUGGUUAAUACCCAAGAUGAGUGGACGUUACUCGCAGAAUAAGCACCGGCUAACUCUGUGCCAGCCGCCGCAGUAAUAC
rnacentral:rRNA from 1 species